GCCGUAAUCGUCUAGUGGUUAGGACAUCAGUUUGUGGACCAACCCAGUUGAAACACUGGAAACCGAGGUUCGAUUCCUCGUUACGGCA
rfam:Purpureocillium lilacinum isolate PLFJ-1 scaffold00008, whole genome shotgun sequence.